CAGCCGCCACGGUAAUACGGAGGGUGCAAGCGUUAAUCGGAAUUACUGGGCGUAGAGCGCGCGCAGGCGGUUUGUUAAGUCAGAUGUGAAAUCCCCGAGCUUAACUUGGGAACUGCAUUUGAAACUGGCAAGCUAGAGUCUUGUAGAGGGGGGUAGAAUUCCAGGUGUAGCGGUGAAAUGCGUAGAGAUCUGGAGGAACAUCUGUGGCGAAGGCGACUAUCUGGGCCAACACUGACACUGAGGCACGAAAGCGUGGGGAGCAAACAGGAUUAGAUACCCCAGUAGUCCCUGUCUCUUAUAC
rnacentral:rRNA from 1 species